CCUACGGGUGGCAGCAGUGGGGAAUAUUGCACAAUGGGCGCAAGCCUGAUGCAGCCAUGCCGCGUGUGUGAAGAAGGCCUUCGGGUUGUAAAGCACUUUCAGCGGGGAGGAAGGCGUUAAGGUUAAUAACCUUGUCGAUUGACGUUACCCGCAGAAGAAGCACCGGCUAACUCCGUGCCAGCAGCCGCGGUAAUACGGAGGGUGCAAGCGUUAAUCGGAAUUACUGGGCGUAAAGCGCACGCAGGCGGUCUGUCAAGUCGGAUGUGAAAUCCCCGGGCUCAACCUGGGAACUGCGUUCGAAACUGGCAGGCUAGAGGCUUGUAGAGGGGGGUAGAAUUCCAGGUGUAGCGGUGAAAUGCGUAGAGAUCUGGAGGAAUACCGGUGGCGAAGGCGGCCCCCUGGACAAAGACUGACGCUCAGGUGCGAAAGCGUGGGGAGCAAACAGGAUUAGAUACCCGAGUAGUC
rnacentral:rRNA from 1 species